UCCCUGCAUUGGCUUCCAGUUAGAUAUAGGGCCCAAUUCAAAAUUCUGGCGCUUGCUUACAAAUCCCUACAUAAUGCUGCUCCAACAUACCUAUCUUCCCUCAUACACAAGUAUGUUCCGACGAGACCCCUGCGCUCAGCCCAAGACCUACUCCUAUCCUCUGCCCGGAUCCCCACCUCUGAUGCUCGCCUUCAAGACUUCUCCAGGGCUGCACCUAUUCUGUGGAACUCCCUUCCCUCCUUAAUCAGACUUUCACCCAGCCUCCAUUCCUUCAAAAAAUCUUUGAAAACUCACUUCUUCAUUAAAGCGUAUCAAUUAAACUGUCAGCAGGUUUCUCAUCCCCCAUCCCAUGACUCCGUUCCUUCACCUGUCAAA